GAAACCAACAGGGAUUGCCCUAGUAACGGCGAGUGAAGCGGCAACAGCUCAGAUUUGAAAUCUGGCGUCUUUGGCGUCCGAGUUGUAAUCUGUAGAGGAUGCUUUUGGGUAGCCACCGGUCUAAGUCCCCUGGAACGGGGCGUCACAGAGGGUGAGAAUCCCGUAUGUGACCGGAAGGGCGCCCUCCACAUAGCUCCUUCGACGAGUCGAGUUGUUUGGGAAUGCAGCUCUAAAUGGGAGGUAAAUUCCUUCUAAAGCUAAAUACCGGCCAGAGACCGAUAGCGCACAAGUAGAGUGAUCGAAAGAUGAAAAGCACUUUGGAAAGAGAGUUAAAAAGCACGUGAAAUUGUUGAAAGGGAAGCGCUUGCAACCAGACUUGUUGGCGGUGUUCCGCCGGUCUUCUGACCGGUCUACUCACCGUCUGCAGGCCAGCAUCAUCUGGGGCCGCCGGAUAAAAGCGGGGGGAAUGUGGCUCCCUCGGGAGUGUUAUAGCCCCUCGUGCAAUACGGCGAGCCUCGGGUGAGGUCCGCGCUUCGGCUAGGAUGCUGGCGUAAUGGUCGUAAGCGGCCCGUCUUGAAACACGGACCAAGGAGUCUAACAUCUAUGCGAGUGUUUGGGUGUCAAACCCCUACGCGUAAUGAAAGUGAACGGAGGUGGGAGCCUUAGGGUGCACCAUCGACCGAUCCUGAUGUCUUCGGAUGGAUUUGAGUAAGAGCAUAGCUGUUGGGACCCGAAAGAUGGUGAACUAUGCCUGGAUAGGGUGAAGCCAGAGGAAACUCUGGUGGAGGCUCGCAGCGGUUCUGACGUGCAAAUCGAUCGUCAAAUUUGGGUAUAGGGGCGAAAGACUAAUCGA
rnacentral:rRNA from 1 species